GGAAAACCGCUACGUAGAAAUGUAGCCCAACAGCGAAGCCCACGAAGGUCUGGCCCAGGCCUAGAAACUUUGAGCCCAGCCCAGAUUCAGUGGAAAACACCAGAAUCAAGUACAUUAACAGCAACAACAGAUACAACACGUAGCCAAGGGUUUGCAGAACCAUUAAACAGACGUACAUGGGUUGCGAAGUAGCGUAGAAAAACCUCAAAGGCUCCAGCCCAGUAACUAGAGAAGAGAGACAAAGAAUGAAGAAGUAAAUUGAGAGAUAAACUUGAAUGAAGAUGACGAUCUUUUGGAUAGAGAAAUAAGCUUGAUGCGGCUGACGAUUAAAGAAACUAGAAGGAGAGGUAUUAAAAUGAAAGCGAAACAGACUACAGUGGCAAUGGUGGAUGCAUAUCUGUUUCCAACUAUGGGCUUGAACCCUUUGGCCAUUUCUUUGUUGGCUUUUGUGAGGUAUUUUUUGGAGGUUAUUGAGAUCUUCUCAAUGUCUGGCAGGAGAGAUUGUUGAAAUUUGGAUGGUAGAGCUCUGAACUCAGCGACCAAAUCAUCCUCCCCUUCUUGAUCAACCCAACUGGGUUGUUUUUGUGCCUGCUGGGUGGUGGUCUUCUUCUCGUUAUUGGGUUUUUUCUCUGCGGUUUUUAAUGGGCUCUUGGUUUGUUUUUGGGAUUCAGAAUCACUCACAAGAAUUUGGGAUCCUUUUGUUGAAGUGGGUUUGGAUGUUUUGUUCUUGGGGGAGCCUAAUUUGAGUAGAUCUGAGGUUUUUUUAGUAGAGCCGGAGCUGGUUUUGGUAGAGUUGUAAGCUUUUGACGUGGAAUUGAGCUUCUUAAGCUGGGAAGUGGAAUUGAGCUUUUUAAGCUCAGCCUUGGAUAAGGAGUAAAAAGCUGCUUUAGUUGAAUUUGUAAAUUUUGUAAUCUUGGUUUGGUUCUUAGUAGAUAAGCUAGUCUUAGAGAGCUUAGUUUGGUUUUUUGAAGAGGAAAGAUUGGUUUUGAUUAGCUUGGUUUGGUUCUUGGUAGAAGAAUUGGUACUUUUUUU
rnacentral:misc_RNA from 1 species